rnacentral:rRNA from 1 species
UACAGAGGUGGCAAGCGUUGUUCGGAAUUACUGGGCGUAAAGGGCUCGUAGGCGGCCGACUAAGUCCGACGUGAAAUCCCAAAGCUUAACUUUGGAACUGCGUCGGAUACUGGAUGGCUUGAAUUCGGGAGAGGGAUGCAGAAUUCCAGGUGUAGCGGUGAAAUGCGUAGAUAUCUGGAGGAAUACCGGUGGCGAAGGCGGCAUCCUGGACCGACAUUGACGCUGAGGAGCGAAAGCUAGGGGAGCAAACGGG